rnacentral:piRNA from 1 species
UACCAUGAGGUCAAAUAUCAUUCUGAG